GGGGGACUGUCUCCUAGAAUAGGAGACAGGAGGUUUACGGUCCAUCCCCCUGUUCCCCAUCCCCCACAUCCCCGUUUGGUACUGCUGAUUAGUGCGGUACGGGCGUCGACCACGCCUUCUCCCGUUUCGCACUUCAGUCCAUUCUUGCUCAUUGUAAUUCAUGAUUGUUUUUAAUCUUUUUAAUUAUUAAUUACUAUUUAUUAAUGUGGUGUAUUUAUUAAACUAUUUAUUUAUUUAUUGGUGUAUCUUUCUAUCUAAUUUAUUUAUUUAUUGAAAUGAAGGUAUUUAAAACUAAAACAGUAUAACCAAAUAAAUGAAUUGUUCUGAUUUUUUUAUGCUUUUUUGUUUUUUUCUGAAAUCAAAAUGAAAUAAAAUGAAAUAAAAGAAAGAAAACUGAAUAAAAUGUCUAUGAAGAUGAAGAAAUAAAGAAAAGGUGUAAUAAAGAGUGCCCAGUCGCGACGUUUCGACCCGCUUGGGUCUUCUUCAGGCUAUGGGCACAAAAGGGAAUAUGUCUGGACUUGUCUGAGUGUGUUUGUGAGAUGAUUUCUCGUCAGGAGACAUAUGAGGAAUGAGAGAAACAAAGCUGUGUGUGCGUGUGUUAUUUAUAGGAGCGUGGGAGAGAGCAGAGCACAGCUGCACCCCAUAAGCCAGACGGGGGCCCCCGGCCGUCUGGGUGCUGUCUGGGUGCAGUUAAUAGGAAAUAGGAAAGGUUUAAGGUUUUUGGCGUUAGGGUUAAAAUCACUGUCCAAAAACCUUUGUAGGAACUCUUUUCCAAGAAAAAUGAAAAAAAAAAUAUUUGGGGUGUUCGGGCUUCCUGAAGGUAAUAGGAAUAGGAAAGGUUUAAGGUUUUUGGCGUUAGGGUUAAAAUUACUGUCCAAAAACCUUUGUAGGAACUCUUUUCCAACCUUUUGGAGUUAGGUAAACCAGAAAAAAAAAGAAAAACGAAAAAAAAAUAUUUGGGGUGUUCGGGCUUCCUGAAGGUGAUACCCGGGUAUUAGGUUUUGGGGCUAGGGUAAGGUUUGAGGUUUUUGGCAUUAGGGUUAAAAUCACUGUCCAAAACCUUUUAGGAACAUGUUUCAGACCUUUUGGAGUUUGUACACCAAAAAAAAAAAGUAAAACGAAAAAAAAAUAUUGGGGGUGUUCGGGCUUCCUGAAGGUAAUACCCGGGUAUCAGGUUAUGGGGCUAUGGUAAGGUUUAAGGUUUUUGGCGUUAGGGUUAAAAUCACUGUCCAAAACCUUUGUAGGAACUCUUUUCCAACCUUUUGGAGUCAGUAUGACCAAAAAAAAUUAAAAAAAAUUUAAAAAAUGUAUUUGGGGUGUUCGGGCUUCCUGAAGGUAAUACCCGGGUAUUAGGUUAUGGGGCUUAGGAAAGGUUUAAGGUUUUUGGCGUUAGGGUUAAAAUCACUGUCCAAAACCUUUUUAGGAACACGUUUCAGACCUUUUGGAGUUUGUACACCAAAAAAAAAAUGUAAAAUGAAAAAAAAAUAUUUGGGGUGUUCGGGCUUCCUGAAGGUAAUACCCGGGUAUCAGGUUAUGGGGCUAUGGUAAGGUUUAAGGUUUUUGGCGUUAGGGUUAAAAUCACUGUCCAAAACCUUUGUAGGAACUCUUUUCCAACCUUUUGGAGUCAGUUAGACCAAAAAAAAAAUAAAAAAAAAUAAAAAAAAUGUAUUUGGGGUGUUCGGGCUUCCUGAAGGUAAUACCCGGGUAUUAGGUUAUGGGGCUUUGGAAAGUUUUAGGGUUUUUG